CCAAUUAUUAUUGUUAUCAAAAGUAAAGAUUUUCUUGGUAAAGAGUUCAAAACUGUUUUCCGAAUCUAGAGGUUGCAACACGUGUAUUGAGAAAUCCCCUCCUAUGUAUCUGCCUACAUUACUAUUUCGAGAGGUUAUAAUUAUCCUACUGCCAAUUUUUGAAUCACAUUCAGGAAGGACAAGUUUUAGAUCAUCCCAAAUUUCAACAUCCCAAAUGUCAUCUAAGAGAAUAACAUACCUUUUUAUUUUCAAGAGUGAUCGUAGGUUGUUCUCCAAGUUUUCUUUCCUUUCCUCUUCCAUCAGUCCAACUUGUUUGGCUAUGUCAUGUAAGAUUUCUCCCGCCCUUGGCUGUUGUGAAACAUAGACCAGUCCCGAACACUCAAAUUGAUCACGGACUUGCCUAUAAAGUUUCUUGGCAAGAGUUGUUUUUCCUAGACCGGGCAUGCCAACUAUUGAAACAACUCCAUAAGGCAAAUCAUGAUCAAGUAAUUUGGCUUGCAGCUUAUUGAAGUCAUCAUCCAAACCGAUGACCUCUGUUUCAUCAGCAUGAAGGAAUAAUCUUCUUUGGUCCAAUGGAAUGCAAUCAUCACUAUUGUUGUUACUUGUAUCCAUGAUGUUGUAAGUUGUCCUUACACGAUCAAUGUCAGCAACUCUUCUUUUUAUCUUCUCAAUCUCCAUAGCAAACUCAUCCGCAAAAGAAACCGUCUUAAGGCAACAAAUGAAAUUAUUGGAUUGUUGAAUUUUUGGAAGAAACUCAUCUAAUAGAUCCUCCACAUCACCUGCCAGUUGUUGAAUAUCUUUUAAUAAGUUUUUGACCCUUGAAUGGCCUCCAACUUCCUUGGCCUUUGCAUCGUCUACAUAUGAUCGAAUGUGUCUCAUUUCUCUGUGGAGCCAAUCUAUGUCCUCUUUUAACCAAUAUAAACGCGUUCCUUCUUGAAAGAGUACAUUUCCAGCUAUUUCUAUUGAUUUAUUGAUGACUGCUGUGAGAAGAAUUUCAGCCAUCUCUUUUUUCCUUAAAUUUCUUUUUUCUAAAUGUGAGGAUUAGCAAGGGAAAGUAAGAGAAAAUUAAAAGAUGAUCAAUUAUUGGUAAAAGGAUAAGAAAGAUGCAGUAUUUGCUUUAGGUGUUGGAGUCAACGGCCAAGUCUACUAAUAAUAAUGUCAAGUAGAUGAAAAAGAAAGAACAAAUGGACAGAAACAACUACUCCGUUCAUAUUAAAUACAAUAAUUCAUCUUUUCUUAAUCAUAUUAGCUGGUAUUUUGUUUUCAAGCAUGCAGGGGCGGACCCACCGUUACCCGAUGCCCUUCGUCGAAAAAUUACGAGGUCAAAUUUUGAUUUUAUAAAUAUAUAUAUAUAUACAAGUAUUAACACAUCUGGACACAAGUUAAAAGGUUUCGUGUAUUAAGGUGUUACGAAAGUUCCUUGAGGUAGUGUGUUUUUGUGCUAUUAGCCUCAAAUUAUAUUUUUUUAUUACAAUCAUUGACACCUUAAUGACAAUCUUUGGAUCCACGUUAAAAGUCAGACAAUUGAUGCAGUACUACGCGAAAAAUUCAAUGGCAAAGAUGAGUUCACACCGAAGCUUCUGGAAUCUCCUUCGUCCGAUUAUAUUUCAGUUCAUUAAAACAAGGGAUAAGGGCCUGAAAAAUAUUCCAACUUUGGUCGAAUUUGCUGUUACGAUACUAAACUUUCAUGAGGACCUAUUACCUCCCUAGACUAUUUAAUACCGUAUUUUAAACAUAUAUAUUUGCCCACGUGGACAUAAAAAAUAAUGCAAAAUUAUAAAUAGUAAUGUGUCCACGUGGACACAUAUAUACCUUUAAAAUACACUAUUAAAUAGUUCAGGGGGUAAAAAAUACGGUAUUAAAUAGUCUAGGGAGAUAAUAGGUCCUCAUAAAAGUUUAGUAUCGCAACAACAAAUCCGACCAAAGUUGGGGUAUUUUUCAGACCAUUGUCCCUUAAAACAAGGCAAAAAUACUCAUUACCCCCUUGAACUUGAAACUUUUUAUACGGUGUGCACCUAAACUAAAUUCCAUUUUAAUUAACUCCGAACUUGUUUAUUCCUCCAUCACGUACAUCUUUUUCGUCCACCUGCUCCUAUUGUGUAUUCCUCCAUUAUGUACACCUUUUUCGUCCACCCGGUCCUAUUGUGACUACACGCGCGCGACAGCUGGCAAAAGUGGUGAUGUGGAUUUCCACCUGGAUAUAUAAUAGCCACCUAGAUAAAUUAAUAUUGCAAAAAAUAAAUUUCCUAAAUUUAAAAUUCAUUGUUUAAAAGUUAUUUUUGAAUAAGGGUUGAUUUCGCGGAACUCCUUGAAUUUCAAAUUUGUCUGAAAUUCUUACCAAGUAAGUGUUAAUCUUUGUUUCCUUUACUUUUCAUUUACAUUUUCGUCGCGUACACCUUUUUUUUCCACUUACUCCUGUUGGGACUACACGCGCGCGACAGCUGUCUAAAUUGGUGAUGUGGAUUUCCACCUGGAUAAAUUAAUAUUACAAAAAAAAAUAUUCUUAAAUUUUAAAUUCAUCGUUUAAAAGUUAUUUUUGAAUAAGGGUUGAUUUCGCGGAACUCCUUGAAUUUCAAAUUUGUCUGAAAUUCUUACCAAGUAAGUGUUAAUCUUUGUUUCCUUUACUUUUCAUUUACAUUUUGCCCUAUUUUUCAUUUAAAAUAUGCCAAAUAUUAAACAAAAAUGGAGAUUUUACGUUGUUUUUUUUUACCGUUGUAGCUUUGUGAUGUGGCAAAAAAUCACUUCCUCACGCGCCUAGUAGAGUGUGUUGUCAAUUUCUACACCAGGUGGACGAAAAGGUGUACGCGACGGAGGAAUAAACAAGUUCGGGGGGGUAAUUAAAACGGAAUUUAGUUUAGGUGUACACCGUAUAAAAAGCUUCAAGUUCAGGGGGGGUAAUGAGUACUUUUGCCUUAAAACAAUUGUUAAAUCUUUAUUAUAUAUUUCAUUUUCAAACAAGAAUAAAGAAUUUUUAGAGUCGUCAGCCGAUUGAAGCAGUAUAUGAUUAUCCCACUAGAAUAUAUAUAUAUAUACGUGGCACUAUCUUGUGGGCCUAGCGCGUGUUGACAAUUUUUUCAAGGAUAGUGCCACGUAGGCCGAAAAGGGGUAGAAAAUUAUAUAUAAAAUAAAUUCAAGGGGGUAAUAGGACCUUAGUAAAAGUUAGGUGUGUCUCAGAGAUUUUGGGCAUAGAAUGGGGGUACUUAUGCAUUUUCCCUAUAUAUAUCACCAAAGAUCGACGACCUUGGCUAUAUUUAUAUUGGAAAAAUGUUAGAAAAUAUUUUAUAUAAAAUAUAACAUAUUGUUUAUAUAUAAAUAUAUUUGCAUACUAAGAUUGUUCGGUUCGAAAGGUUUUUGAUUUUAUUUUAAAAAUUAAAAAGUUCAUCCCAAUUGUUUGGCACAGUACACACUUAAACAAAAAUCCACGAUUUUAUUAAAUAUUUAUAUAAUAAAUCGGUUUGAUUCGAUUGCUUCAGUCGAUUUUUCAUGUUCUUAUGACACCCCUACAUACAAUCAUAUAUAUCAUACAAUCAUAUAUAUCGCACUUACCUAUUACUGAAAUGACUACUUUUUUAUUACUUCCUUUAAUACAUUUGCAAAAUCAAACCCAAGUGUAUGUAUCAUUGGCUCAUUACUAAUUGUCCACCAUUCUAUGCUACAUGAUUAACACAAUGUAUCACUUUUCUAUCUGUGUUCGUACUUCGUAGUUUGCACCAUGAACACAUAAAUCACAUAGGGAUAUUGAAAAUAUUGUCCACUGCCAGAGAUAUUUCGCUGCAUUGUACUUUUCAAAGAGCUGCUUCCCUAUUCCAAAAAGAGAAUAAGAGAUUAAACAUUUCGAAAUAGAAAGCACUAAACCAAUAAAAAUCCAUAGCCACAUUUAAAAAAUUACUAUGGAGAACAUGUGUGUGAGAGAGAGAAAGCAAGACUGUUUUACUCGAAAAUAUAAAAGAAAAAGAAAAAAUGACUGAGUUUCGAAAAAUCGAUCAAACUUAUGAUUUAAGAGAAAUCGAAUUUCCAAAAGAACAGAGUCGCCACUAAAUUUUUAAUAAAAAUCAAGAAAAAACUUAAGGUUUUCAAAAGACUCAAACAGAUAAAAUCAAUCGAAAAAGGGUUCGAGUUCAAUGUACAUUCCGAGAAGGUGUUAGGACCCUCGAAAUGCCCGCUAACUUGCGGUUGACCGGCGAUUUGACUAAAAAUGAUUUUGACUAAUUUUAAAAUUUUAACUAAGUAAAAGAACUCAUAACGACUUUGACUAAUUUUGAAAUUUUAACUAAGUAAAAGAACUCAUUUACUUUAACUUAUUUUUAAAAAUUUUAACUAAGUAAAUGAACUCAUUUAUUUUAACUUAUUUAUUUAUUACUAUUAUUAUUUUCAUCACUUUAUUUUUAUUAAUGUCAUUUAAUUAUCUUAAGGGGAAAUGAACCAAGGGAUAAUUUUUCUAAAGGGGAAUAAUUUAAGUGACGAGACAAAUAAUAAAGUAAGAGCUAAGUAAUAAAAUAUAUAUACUUUAAUUUGGAAAAUAACAUGAAAUCGCCGUCUUUGGGAAUUUAAUUAAAUUAAACCAUAAGAUAAUCAAGGUUAGUCAAACAAUACAAUAUAAAUAAAGACACAGUAACAUUCUUUUGUGUAACAAAGAUGUCUCAAUUUUUUAGACUCCCAAACACCAAAAGGAAGUUUACUAUAGCUAUGAAAUAUAUCCAGGGUCUCUAGACAUUUGAGCUUGACAAUACUAUUUGGCAAUUUUACUCUAAUUCUCCCCUCCAAUCGCACAUAGCGUAGGCAACUCAUGUUCCCAAUUUUGUUUGGGAUAGUAAUUACAUGCUGAUAACGAUCUCGAGACGUGACUACAACCAACACUUGCAAUAAUUUGAAACUAAGGUGAGCCAUAUGAGAAAAUAGGCAACUGUUAUUGUUGAAACAGAAAAGUGCACGAAGCUUCGUAGGUUUAGGAUUUGAACGGAAGAACUCAUUCAUGGCAUUAUUAUCAGAGUAGAAUGUAAUCCUUCGCACCCUAGCAACAUUGCUGGGAUCACCAAAUGCAUUGUGCUCGGUGUGAAAGAAGUUACUUUCCUUAGCCAAAUCCACACACAAACUAUGUAACAAGUCAUGUAUGCGACAACUUGAAAUUCUUCCAUCAUAUGUCCUUUUGGCAACUUGAAUCAAGUUUCUUGAAACCAAAUCAUUUAGGAAAUCCUCCGCCAAAUUUUCAGCUUCUCGCAUAUUGCCACUAUUUACAACUAUCAACUUCUCAGCAAUCCACAUAUUUGUCAAAUCAAAAGCACGAAUUUCAUGGUCCUCGGGGAAAAGACCAAAGUACAAGAAACAUGGCCUUAAUGCAAUGGGCAAAUCAUUGUAACUCAGAGCCAAUACCUUAGCACAUCCAUCUUGAACUUUAUGGCUCAUACUCUCAAGUAACCUGUUCCAUGCACGUUCUGUUCUUUCUCUUGCCCUUAACAUGCCUGCAGUCACCACAAUGGCUAGUGGUAUACCACCACAUCUACCAACUAUACUUCUACCAAUAUUUACCAAGUCAACUGAAUGAUUAUUAUCAAAAGUAAAGAUUUUCUUGGUAAAGAGUUUAAAACUAUUCUCUGAAUCUAGAGGUUGCAAUACGUGGAUUGAGAAAUCCCCUCCUAUGUAUCUGCCUACAUUACUAUUUCGAGAGGUUAUAAUUAUCCUACUGCCAAUUUUUGAAUCACAUUCAGGAAGAAGAACAAGUUUUAGAUCAUCCCAAAUUUCAACAUUCCAAAUGUCAUCUAAGAGGAUAACAUACCUUUUUCUUUUCAAGAGUGAUCUUAGGUUGCCUUCCAAGUUAUCUUUCCUUUCUUCUUUCGUCAGUCCAACUUGUUUGGCUAUGUCAAGCAAGAUUUCUCCCGCCCUUGGCUUCUGUGAAACAUAGACCAAAUAAAGUUAAGUGACUGUCUAAGAUAAUUAUUCCUAGUUGAGUGAUUUUCUAAGAUAACUACACAUAUGUAAUGACCCUCUUGGUCAUUUUCUUGUUUUGCCUUCUGUGUGUCGUUUAGAGCAUUUCUAUAGCGACCCCAAGUCAUUUAUGGCUUGCUGGGACUGACAGUUCGGUCACCUGGUCGUUCGUUUGGUCAUAAUUUGAGUUUUAGUGUUUUGGAGCUUAUGAACUUUAAACGAUCAUUUUCGAUCAAAAGUUCAAGAAGAUGACAUCGGAAUCCAAUUCUGACGAUUCCAUCAGCUCCGGAAGGGUCAUUUUAGGCUAGAAGCAUGGUCGGCAUGACUCCCGAGGUUUUCAGUGUGAGUUGGUGCGAUUAGGCGUUUUAACCUUUGAAAUUUGGCUUAGGGUUGACUUUGGUCAACAUUCUUGGAAAACGAGCUCGGAUGGAAAUUCCGUCAGCGUGGUUAGCUCCGGAAUGUCGAGUUUGGUCUAGAUUGACCCUUCUUUGUGUCUGGAGGUUUUCGAUAUCUUUCCGAGCCUUUUUUGUGGGUUUUGACUUAAAUGGCUUUUGGAAGUGGUACCCACUUUUUAUCGAAAUGACCUCUGAUGGAAAUUUCGACUGCGCCGUUGAGUCUGGAAUAUCGAAUUUGGUAUGGUUGCAUAUCUCGUUUGCGUGCACGGGGUUCCGAACGAGAUCGGAGUACCCCGUCGGAAUUUUAAGUUUGGAAGUGUUGCAGAUUUUCUGCAAUUUAUUGCAGAAAAUCAGCAACAUUUCCCAAAUUCCAAACCCUCACAACUCUCUCAUCACUCAACCGAUUUGGGUGAUUCAAAAGGCAAAGUUGUGAGAUUUUUUCGAGGGCAACAUGUUGGUGAGCUUGGAUAGUGAUUUGGAGUCCCCGUUUGAGGUAAUUUUCGAAAAAAUACCUGCUGCCAGACCUCUUUUUGUGAGUUUGAUUUUGGAAAUUUUGAGACUUGUUUUCUUAGCCAUUGUAGAUCCGAUUUUGGUGAUUUUUGAGGUAAUCUUGAGUGGUUUUUCGAGGAGAACGUUGUGGUGUUGUUAGAUUUUACUGUAGACUGCUCGUUUUUGGUAAAUACACUGCUGUCCCAUUUCUAUCUUUGAGAAAAUUUGGGUUUUGGUUGUAUGUUGGUAGUGUGUUGUUCCCGAGCCCCGAAUUGUGUCCCAUUUUGGGAUAUGAACUGGGGGAAAACUGGUUAGGACCCACUUUUGGGGUUAAUUUCAGAAUUUCCAGCGCGGGUCCCACGAUUCCCGUUUUGACUCCAAAAUUGACCCGUCUCCGUUUGUUGUGAUUUUAGUGUCUAAACGAAUGUAAUAACGUUGUGAUUCUAUUUUUGAUAGCGGGGAAGCGUUUUGAGGACGUUCGGAAAGGGAAAGCUCCGGAGAAGUGAUUUUGGAGCGCGUGUGAUUGGCCUACAGGUAGGCUACGGUUUGGUAACUGUGAGCAUGCUUUGUGUUAUUAACGGACCCUCCUCGCUAUGUGGAGUACUUGCAUGCUUAAUUACUGUUUAUUUGAAGCAUGUUGGACCUUAGCUUAGGUUUGACUAGGGCUUGCCUUAGAAAUACAUGAUUCGGAUUCGAUAGGCCUUAGUUUUACCCCGAUGUCGCUCGGCUGACUUAGAUCCCUGUAGACUGAUAUAGCAGACUUGAGUCUGAUAGUUUGGGCCUUAUCUAGGCGAUACGCUUUUUCCGAUAAUAGUUAUCCUUAUUUUCUCCGAUACUGCGGCUUCACGAGUUGCAUCGGCAAUACUAGUUCUACUUCGCGAUUUGAAUUAGAUUUUCGAUUUGGUUCCAAGGACUUUCAUUGAUUGGCUAUGUGUGGACGACAUUUCACGGACAUUUAUAAGUACGGAUCGAUUGAGACUCCUUCAGAAGUUACAUUGGCAAAAUCAUAGAGCAUCCGGUUCGAGGUCCGGCCUCUAUUGCGUCAGAUUCUACUAAUUAGGGUUGAGGUUCUGGUUCGAUGUUCUUCGUUCAUGGGUUCUUUUAUGCAAUUCUCUUUAGUUAUAGUUAUUCUGUGUACUCGUCGGGCUUAUGGGGGUCCGUUCGGGUUUUAUAUACUUAAUACUGGUGAUUAGUUACUUGGGUACUUAUAUGGAGCAUCCGGUUCGAGGUCCGGCCUCCGUACUGUCAGAUUUUACUAAUUGGGGUUGAGGUUCUGGUUCGUGUUCUUCGUUCAUGGGUUCUUUUAUGCAAUUCUCUUUAGUUAUAGUUAUUCUGUGUACUCGUCGGGCUUAUGGGGGUCCGUUCGGGUUUUUAUUUAACUUGCGCACGAGUGUACCUUCUGGGCUUAUGGGGGUCCAGUUAGGUGUAGUUAGCUUGUAGAUUACUCUAGUUAGUUCUUUAUACACUCGUGUGCAUUUCAUUGUUAGUUAGAUUUUAGUUCUUGACUUCGGUUUGUGUUAUUCCUUCUUUUCAUACUGCCUUUACUUUUCAAGUUCAGUCGGCCUAUGAUGCCUACUGGGUACCUGUUGUUUUGGUACUCAUGCUACGCUCUGCAUCUAUUUCGUGAUGCAGGUCCGGGCACUAGAAGCCAGCGUUGAUCGAGCUUGGAGCAGACUGAUCCGGAGACGGGAGUGAGCACACGACGUUUUGUACUAUUUCAGUCUCCAUCUGUAUAUAUAGACUUGUCUUUUACCUUUCGAGACAGUCCAGUCUCUGUUGUCCACUUUUGGGACUUGUACUCAUUUUGUUAGUAGCUCUGUACUAGUGACUUCCAGGUUCUGGGAGGGAUCUUUAUUUGUAUAUAUGUUUUUGGUUUGCUUCCGCCUGUUUAUAUUGUUAUUUGCCUACUCUUGUUUAGUUUCUACCCUCAGACCCAUUACUUGUUGUUCCGGUUUACGGGUUGGCUUACCUACUGGUGGGUAGUAGGUGCCAUCAUGACUUGAGAAAUUGGGUCGUGACAAGUUGGUAUCAGAGCCCCAGGUUUAUCGGUCUCACUUGUACAGAGCUAACGUCUAGUAGAGUCCUGCAUAUCGGUGCGGAGACGUCCGUAAGUAUAGUUGAGUGACUUUUGAUUUACAAAAUAAAGUCAAGUGACUUUCUGAGAAAACUAUCAAUAGUUGAGUGACUUUUGAGAAAGAUAUUCAUAGUUGAGUGACCAUUUGAGAUAUUAUCUCAAAAGGCUUUUAUUUAGAUUAAUUUCUUAGUAAAAGAUAAGGCAAGAAGGAACUACAAAUUUUAAAGUACAACUUUUGAUAAGUUAUUCUUUUUUUAAAAACCUAACAAAAUAUUAUUUAUAGUGAACAAAUCAUCUGACAAUAAACCAAGUCAAUUCUUCAUAAUACCCAAGUCUUAUUAACUUCACCGAGUGUUAAUCUGAUAACAAUAUCAAUAAGUUAAUUUUGUGGUUGAGUUAUGGUAUACGUUUCAAUCUUGAACCGUAUUCUUAUUUUCUUAAAGAAUCAUAUUCUUAUUUUUUUCCCUAAUAACUUUAAUUAAUAAAUAAGUAGAAAGAACUAUUUUUUUCUUCUUAAUAUCAUUUUAUCAACGGAAAAGGGUCAAAAUUGCCCCUGAACUAUGUGAAAUAGACCACUUAUACCCUUCGUUACAUUUUGGGAUCAAAAUUGCCCCUGCUGUUAUCCUAAGAGACCACAAAUACCCUCAAGAGUUAACACCCCAAAUUUUUAAUUGACGUGGCAAGUUACAUGGGACUAAUUCUUCCACCUAAGUGUUGCCAAUUAGGAUUCACUAAAAAAGAACUAGACCUUUAGCAGCGACAACAGUCGCCACAAAAGCCCAGAAAAUCGUCACUAAAAGUUUUUAACAUUAAAUUCUAAUUUUGUGUUUUUUUCUUCAUUGUUUUUAAAAAAUUAAAAUAUCGAUUAAGUAGGAGUUUUAAGACACUAUAUGUUUUAUUUUUAUGUCAUAUGUAAAUGUAUAAAAUGUACAAUGAUGCAUUAUUAUAUAGUAGGAGAUUUAAAUCGAGAAGUAAUUUUGAUGAUUUUUCGUAAUAAUAUUGGAUGUUUUUUAAUAUUGAUAUUGCAAGUUAUUUAUUUUAGAAAAUUAGGUUGCAAUAUAAAAUUAAUUAUCAUAUUUUUUUUGUUGAAAAAAUAGGUUUUAUUAGUGAAUGGUUGUUGGAGCUUUAGUCGCCACUAAAAAUCACUCAUAACCUUUAGUGGCAAUAUUUUGAGAUUUUGUGGCGACUUUCUCGCCACUAAAGGUCAAGUUCUUUUAUAGUGAAUCUUAGUUGGCAAUGCUUAGGUGGAGGGAUUAGUCCCAAGUGGCUUGCCACAUCACUAAUAAUUUGGGGUGUUAACUCUUAAGGGUAUUUGUGGUCUCCUGGGAUAACGACGAGGGUAUUUUUGAUCCCAAAAUGUAAUGAAGGGUAUAAAUAGUCUAUUUCACAUAGUUUAGAGGCAAUUUUGACCCUUUUUCAUUUUAUCAAUUAAAAUAGAAUAAAUGUACAUAUCUUUUUAAUUGAUAAUAUUGGUCAUACAUAUAGGAGCAUAGUAAUUAUACAAUUUGUUUACUACUAGUUCUAACUAUUUUGUAUUAAUCAAAUAUAACUUAAAGCUAAAAAGAAAAGUACCUGAUAGGUUGGAAUUUAGCUGAUGCAGUUCCUUGAUUGGAGUAAAUAUUAAUUAUAAGUGUUUUUUUCAAAAGAUGGAAAUUGACAAAUUAACCAAUAACUUCAAUUCUAUUUAUAAGUAUAUUUUUUAUAAAAAAAUAAAUAAAUUAGUUCAAUACUUGACUUGAAUGUGAGGGUAAGAUGGGCCAUAAUUUCCAAUUUAUUCUUUACUUAAACCAUAUAUAGGCAUCUUACCUUUUUUCUCAUGAAAAAGUAAAAGGAAAGUAUAAUGUUGGAGAAUUAAAAAAAGAUAAUCAUAUUUUCACUUUUGUCUGGAUGUAAAUGUUACAAAAGAAAUAAAUGAAUAUUUCAAACGGAAGUAUUUCUCGUGAAGAACUCUUUUUUCACUUUAGUUGUAAUUAUUCCAUCGGUAGUUUUGUUACAUAUUAGUUGAUCAUUUUAUUAAAAAUAUAUAGUUGUUCAUCUUUCUAAAUGAAGAAAGCAUUAAUUUUUUUUCCUAUAUUAUCCAUGCAAUUAAUUAUUUUUUAUAGUGUUCACAUUUGUUUAUUAAAUUUUCAAGAAUUUUUUUAAAGAAUGAAUUAAUAAAAUUAACUUCUUAUUUAUGAUACUUAGUAUGCUUGUAAAAAGGAAAAUGAUCAACUGAUAUCGGGAGAGUACCAGAGGCGUAUGUACAUGAAGGGGAGUGGGUUCACAUGCACCCAUCCUCCCCUUCCUAACCCCUAUAUAAUACUACUAUUUUCUAAUUAUCUUUUCAAAUUUGUAUUGGUGAACCCAAGGUUAAAAAGAAUACUCUAGUAUAUUGAUAAGUAUGUACAAAUAGAGGGUGCAUAACUUAUAGAUUUGUGGUUCAAAUUUUUAUAUCCACAUUAAUAUUUUUAAUUUUUAAUUAAUAUAACAAAAUGUGCCACUUUUCAUAGAUCUUUUUAAUAAUUUAUAAAUAAAAAGAGGUCCAAAUACCCAUAUUUUUAGGUUGCAUUAGCUAUGUCUAGACCUUAAGCUAGAAAUGUCAAUAAAGUCAAAUUAUAUUUUUACUUUCUUUUUCUCCUUUCCUUCUUUAGACGUUUUUCUUAUUUAUUUAUUUUAACUUUUUCUUUUGACUUUUCAAAGUCCUAAUCUGAAAGGUAAAAAAGAGUAAAGACAUCAUAUUGUUCUUCUUUUGGCUUCAUUCCACUUUGUUGUUCAUGGUGAAGUAGAAGUGGGAUUUGAGAACAAGUAACAAGGUAUGCUAUCUAAAAAUAAAUAAAUUAUUUAUUAAUGUACUUCAUUUGUUUUAUAUGUUUUUCUUGAUUUAUGAAGUGGUGCCAUUAUUUGAUUGCUUGAAUAAUUAAAUUUAUAAGAAUUUCUUGAUUUCUAAAUAGUUAUCUAAGAAUUGUGAUUCUUUUAUUAGUAAACUUGUUAUUUGUGUUAAUAUUUUUUAAAAAUUAUUUUGUUUUGAUAAGAUUGAAUAGAAGUGUGAAUAUUUAAUUUUGUAGGUAAAAUAAUUCUUACAUUCAAAUCAUCAAAUCACAAAUGGAUAAGUUUCUCAUCAAGUUACCAAAGCCUAAAGAUGGCCAACCAAGUUCUAGCUCUAAUAAACCAUUUGUGAGUUCACAAGUUGCUCCGGAAGUUCAAAGACAUAUAAAUUCUUUUCCACUUUUAAAUACGGAUAAUAUGCUUGAUUUUAAAUCUCUUGAAGCAGAUCCCAAAGACCGAAUGCCUAUUUCAUCUUAUGGUCCUAAUAUUCGAGAUGCGGUAAGGAGGUAUUACAUUCAAAAAAAGCCAUGUCAACUUGUUGAUCAUAUCUUCCCUAAAACUAAGUUUGGAGAUAAAAUGCGUCAAUUUCGACCAACUUGGUUUAAGAGAAGAUCUCAAUGGUUGGAAUAUAGCAUUAAAGCAGACGCGGCAUUUUGUUUGUGUUGUUAUUUGUUCAAGAUUGAACUUGAAAGACUGUCGGAGAUUCAUUUACAAGAGCUGGUUUUAGGUGUUGGAACAAAGCUUUAGAAAGAUUCAAAAACAUGUUGGUAAGGUAAAUAGUAUCCAUCAUAAAUGUUUCAAUAGGAUGCAAGAUUUGAUAAACCAACGACAAUUGAUCCAAUCUUCUUUUGACAAGCAAAGUGAAAAGGCAAGAAGUGAUUAUCGGAUGCGUUUAAAUGCCUCAAUUGAUGUAGCAAGAUUUCUUUUGACAUCGGGAUUUCCAUUUCGUGGACAUGAUGAAAGUGAAGGUUCUGAAUAUAAGGGUGCUUUUCUUGAACUUUUGAAAUGGUAUGGGAAUAGAAGUUUUGAUGUGGGAAGAGUAAUAUUAGGUAAUGCUCCACAAAAUGAUAUGAUGAUUUGUCCGACAAUUCAAAAAGAUAAUGUGGAGGCUUGUGCUAAAGAAACAACUAAGGCUAUCAUUGAAGACUUGGACGGUGACUAUUUUGCAAUAUUAGUUGAUGAAUCAAAUGAUGUUUCUCAUAAGGAGCAAAUGGCUCUAAUUUUGAGAUAUGUCAACAAAAGUGGAAUGGUGAUAGAGUGAUUCUUGGGUAUUGUCCACGUAAAUGAUACAUAUUCUCAAUCAUUUAAAAAGACAAUUUAUUCUUUGCUUUUGGAUCACUCAUUAUGUACAUCCAAAAUACGUGGUCAAGGUUAUGAUGGGGCUAGUAAUAUGCAAGGGAAAAUAUGUAACAACCCAGAAAAAAUUUAAGCUAAGACUUGAACUAUUCUUCGUUGUGAGUAGGGUUUUUUCGAGGAAUUAAAAUUUCUUAAGUGUUAAGGUCACUAGAUGUAGCACCUUGAGUUCGAGAAGGAAUUAAAUUGGAAAUAGUAAAAUCUGAAAUUUUGCAAGUUAUGAUUAAGUAUGAGUUUUGGGUCGACUUAAAACGACUAUAACUCCUAGCUCAGGAUGAGUUAGGUGUAGAUAAUUUUAUUGUCUAUGCUCAAAAGUGUGAUAGCAAGUUUCUCAACUUGAAGGGAAUCAAGCAUCUUAGCGAAGAUCUUUGAAUUAUAUUUCCAACGCCACCAAAUUUGCUAAGUUUCGAGUUCGAAAGAGUGAGAUAUGACCUUUUGAAGUUAGGCUGUCCAGUUAAGGAAAGUCAAAAUCGGAUUUUAGAGGGGUAUUUUGGUCUUUUCCAUACCCAAUCAGAUUUAAUUCGUUUUUAGUAAUAUUUUAAGGGUAUAAUCUGAUUAGGUUCAGUUUAAUAAUCCUAGUUUACGCCUAGGGUUUUAGUUGAGAUUUCAAGAAGAGAAAAGAAGAAAAGAGAAGAAGAGAAAAGAGAAAGGAUGAAGGCGUUUGUCGACGUUCUUGAGAGUUGUUGCGGAUUGUCUUAUUGAUAUGAAAACUCGUCGAGGACAAUUGUAAGUGAAUGAUGGAUGAAGAUCUUUUGAAUGGUUGUUUAGUUUGCUAUAUAGAGCGUAGUAUAUUUAAAAAUGUAAGUAAUGAUGCCAUUAUUGAUAUGAAAACUCGUCGAGGACAAUUGUAAGUGAAUGAUGUUUUUUGCUAAUAUAUUACUAUAUAAAGAUUGCUACUACCUACUUUCUCGUCAACUUGUUCUCACCGUAAAAUUUAUAUAAUUGAAUUAAUUGUCUAUUUUGAAGAUAAUGGUGCCCCCAUGUUCUUGAGAUCCUGGAUACGCCUUUGACUCCAAGGCCUGUAUCUAUUUAACAAUAAAUUGCAGGGACAUAUUCCAGAGACGAUAUGCCAUUUAUCUAAUUUGGUUGAAUUAUAUCUGUAUGGUAAUAAGCUCUCUGGGUUAAUUCCAGAAUGCUACAACUGCUUUCUUUGCAUUCUAACAAAUUAUCUUUAAACUUUCCGUUGAGCCUUUGGAAGAUGAGUAGUCUUCUCUAUCUAAGUGUGUCACAGAAUUCAAUAGAGGGAGAAGUUCCAUCAGAUAUUGGAGGACUGAAAGCCAUUGUAGAACUAUAUCUUUACAGUAACCACUUUUCAGGAAUGAUACCAAGCACAUUCGGGGAACUCCAAAACCUGCAGUAUCUUGAUCUGUCCAACAAUUCUUUUUUUGGCCAAAUUCCAUUAUCCUUUGCCAACUUGAUAAGCUUAGAUUACUUGAAUUUGUCUUUAAAUGCCUUGUCCGGUACUAUUCCUAAGUCUUUGGAAAAACUCGCAUACCUUAAAAGCAUUAAUGUUUCAUUUAAUGAUUUAGAAGGUGAAAUACCGAGUGGAGUGUUUGAAAAUUCCACUUUGCAAUCAUUUCUCGGGAACAAAGGUCUUUGCGGAAUGCACAUAUUGGAGAUUCCUGCUUGUGCUAUCACUAAUCCCAGAAAACAAUCAAAGCUUAAGGAGGUUGUGCUAAAAAUUGUUACUCCAGUGGUUAUUGCAUCCUUUCUGAUAUUCUUGUUCGUUUCAAUUUGGAUAAUGAAACGACAGAGAAAGGGAUGUCCAAAGAUGUUGAAAAGGUAUUGGAGAUCGGGACUCAUCAAUUAAUUUCUUAUCAUGAGAUUCAACGAGUAACAAAUAAUUUUGAUGAAUCCAAUUUAAUAGGUGAGGGAAGCUCUGGCUCUGUGUACAAAGGAACAUUGUUUGGUGGAACUGCAGUGGCCAUUAAGGUUCUCGAUUUGGAAAAUGAGCAAGUAUGCAAGAGGUUUGAUACCGAAUGCGAAGUGAUGAGAAAUGUUAGACACAUAAAUCUUGUUUCAGUGAUUACUACAUGUUCUAAUGACUAUAUAAGAGCCUUUGUUCUGCAAUUUAUGCCCAAUGGAAGUCUUGAGAAUUGGCUGUACAAAGAAGAUCGCCACUUGAACCUUCAUCAAAGAGUCACUGUAAUGCUUGAUGCAGCUAUGGCAGUUGAAUAUCUACUUCAUGCAGGGGCAUAUAUAGGAGGGGGUCACCGGGUUCACGUGAACCCAUGGUUCCCUCCGAAAAUCAUAUAUAGUAGUGUUAUAUUUUUUUAAAAUAUUUAAAUAUAGAUGCGUGAACCCAGACUCGAAGUAUCAUAUAAUGUAGUACGAUGAUGAUUGGGUGCACCUCUCUAGGUGAGGUUAAAAAUUUGAAUCUUUUAUCUAUCUUGUUUUAGUUUUCUUUCUAAGAUUUUGUAACUGGUUUGGAUCAAUAAAAGUUAAUUUUGGACCUAUGAUUUUAAAAUUUUAAUGGUUUUCAGUAAAAAGAAUAUAACUGAUCAAAUUUAUGUCUUAGAUCCACCUUAUUGUAAUAGUGCACCCAUUAUCUAUAAAUCCUGAAUACGCCUCUGACUUCAUGGUCAUGUCGCUCCAAUAGUUCAUUGCGACUUAAAGCCAGCAAACGUUCUUUUGGAUGAGGAUAUGGUCGCUCAUGUUGGUGAUUUUGGAAUCUCUAAGAUUUUAGCUGUCAGCAAGUCCAUGGCACAUACAGAGACAUUGGGGCACUCUUGGAUACAUUGCACCAGGUAUAAAAAGCCUACUCUCAUUGAUUUUCUCUUAUCAUAAUUAUAUUUCAAUUGAGUAACUUUUGUGCAAUCCUUUUCUACGAAUAUGGCUCGGAGGGAAUAGUGUCCACUAGUGGUGAUGUUUAUAGCUAUGGCAUCAUGUAGAUGGAGGUUUUGACGAAAAGAAGGCCAACAGAGGAAGAGAUAUGCAAUGGAAAUCUCGACUUGAGAAAAUGGAUUACACAAUCAUUUUCAGGGAGUAUGAUGGACGUUGUGGAUGCCAAUCUUUUUUGUGAGGAAGAACAAACCACUAGUAAAAGUGAAAUGUGCAUAGCCUCCAUGAUAGAAUUGGCUUUAGAUUGCACAAAGGAAGCGCCACAAUCAAGAGUGACCAUGAAAGAAGUAGUGAAGAGGCUUAACAAAAUCAAGAAUGCAUUUCUAGAAACAUAGAAUUGCAAAUUAAUAUGAUGCUUUUUGUUGUUUAAUAAAGUUGUCGUAUAGUACUACUUGAAUUCAUGUAUUGUUUGUAAUUUCAUUUGAGUGAUUAUGUUUUGAAUGCUUGAAAGAAAUCAGAAAUAAAGGUGUUUAGCUGCACGAUUUUGUUUUUUGAAUGUGAUGAAACAAUUAGUGAAUUGAGCACUUUUGAUUUCCUUGUACUAAUUAAUUACUGUAAACAAUUAGGGAAUUGAGCACUUUUCAUUUUCUUGUACUAAUUAAUUACUGACUUCUUUGGACUUUACCUGCACAAGUAUUCCAACAAGCCUAUCUUAACACCAGAGAGUUCCAAAAGAAAAAUUGGUAACCUGAGCCAGCUUCCAAUUUUGUCCUUGGUCGAUAAUCAUUCCCGAAACACUGUUGUCCCUAUCUGAGCCAGCUUCCAUUUUUUCACAAACAGUGUAACAUUUAUAUAAGCGAGCAAUAAACAUCUCUAUUAUAACCUUAGUAAGCUCAGUAUGAGUAUUAUGGUUGAGUUUCAAGCGAAAACAAGUUUAGCAAAAAAGACGAGAAAUAAUGGUAAAAAACACUUUUGAAGUAUCAUUUUUUUAGCGAGUUUCAUGCCUGAAAGGUUUUUUAAUUUCCUGCUUGAACUGCCACCAACUAUUUAUUAGAACAUACCUCUCGAAUUCUAUAUUUAUAUUAAAUGGUUAAGCAACAUACAAUUUUUUCCAAACUUGUCUUAGACUGCAUGACCUCUCAUUGACUUGGUUCUGGACCAUAUAAUAAAUAAUGCAACUUAUUUAAUUAAAAAAAAAUAUGAUUUUAAUAAUACAAGUUGACUGACUUUUCUCAAUCAAUUCCCUUACCCCUCAGUAUACGCAUAAUUGACCUGUCUUCUUGUGGUUUUGUCUUUAUAAAGUUGGCCUAUGUAAUAUUCCUCAAUGAGAUGACAUUUCAAUAACGUGUAAUAAUACAUCACAGAAAAGUUUGUGGAAAUCACAACCAUAUCUAUAAAAUGAUUUGACUUUAAAUAUUUCAUUCAAUAUGAAUUUUAUAGUUUAGGUAUGAAACUUGCAAAACAAAAAUAGUUCAGUGGUUUAUUAACCUAUUCAAUCUUAAACGAAUGCUAUGAUCACUUUAUCUUUCAGUUACAUAUUACACAUAAAAGUUGUUCAAGAAUAUUAUAUAUUCACAACAAUUAUUAAUUAUAGUGAAUGAAAAAAUAUAUUAUGUAUGAUUUCAGAUUCACUGUUAUGUAAUCGAAAUGCACAAACAAGUUUCUAGGGGAAGAUUUACCAUAAUUAUAACGAUGAACAGGCCGUAGAUAAAUUACUUUCUGGGUAAGCAUUGUGCAUGUAGCUAGUUACGACCCGAUUUCGAAGACUAAGGUUUCGAAGCCAUUUUCGCAACUUUGGCAAAUUUUAGUUAGGUUUUGGAAAAAUUUAUAAUUUGGAAGUCGCCAUUUAAUUUUUUAGGAAAAAUUAAGAAAGCCAUUUAAAAGUGGGUUUUAUGAAAGAAAACAUUUCAACAAAACUAGAGUCGGGAAAGGGUUCAAGUAAUUCUCUAAGGAAGGGUUUAGGCAUCUUAAAGAAUCUGCUAACACUUGAUUGACCGAUGGAUUUAAAAGUUGGCUAAUUUUUUUUAAAGAUAACUUAUUACUUGUGAAAAUCUUGUUGAGAAUAACAAAAGCCUUUUGAUACUUAUACACUAAUCUUAUUCCAAGUAAUGAAAUAAGUCAAAUGCUAAAGUGUCAAAAUAAUAAUUUUAAAUUUAACAUUUUAUCCGAGUUAAGAUUUUGAACUAAAUGGUUAGCUCAAUCUCACCAACGUGGAUUCAAAGCUAAUUGCUAACUAUGAAAGAAUAUGGAAAAAUCUCAAGUUAGUCUAAGAGCUUAAGUUGCCUAACUUGAAAGAGUUUUGAAAAUUUAAAUACUUAAAGUAGACAACUAACGAAAUAGAAGAGCCAUUAAAAAACUCCCAAGGAUUCAUCUAAGUUAGAUAUAAGAAGAAAAUGUUAGCAUUUCUAAAAUAAGAACAGAAACAAGAUAACACAAAUAAAUAACAAGAAUCUAGGCUCUUGGCCUAAAAUGCUCCUCACUUACUGUUACGGUAUAAAUUGGACCUUUUUAAGUCCAAAAGUUCCCAAUUUUAGUCCUUUUGGGACUGCUUCUACUGCUGCAAUAAUCAAAUUGGAUUCUUAAAUCCAAAAUUCAAUUUUCGGCCAUUUGGAAUUGUUGUUACUCCGCUACUUAGCUGCUGCCACUGAUUUGGGUUUUAACCCAUUAAUAUUAGCUUCCCCUUUAUAACUUUGGCGGAGGUCGACUCAAAGAAAGGAAGAUGCAAGAGAGGGGAGUCCAAUUGGACUCAUUCGGAGGGAGUUCCUGCAAAGUAGAGAAAAGGAAGAAGAAUUAGCACAUGUAGCGAGAAAAUGACACUUCAGUUUUAAACAUUCAAACACAAGGAUGAAAUUAACCAAAUAAAACUAUCGUGAACAAAGGGGGAAAAGAAACAGAUCCGAAGCUAUUGCUAAGUUCAUAAAUCCACAAAAUGAUUAAUUAGUCACUGGACCUUUUGAUCUAUACAACCAGCAAAAGGCAUACUUACAAUGGCCAAAAUUGUACUAAACAUGCAAACGUAAUCAGCCAUCAGUUAAAUAAAAGAAAAGAUAGUAGCGUUCCGAUUUUAGCUUAGACUUCAUAUAUCAUUGACUAGUGACUUCUUUCACCAAAAACAAGCUCAACGUACAUAUCUAUAACAAAACUACAAAAGCAGACCCCAAAAGCAGAGCCUUCAGGCAACAACUUCUUUUGAAAUCGAAAAACAAAACACCACUUUAUAUAAUUAAGACGAUAAAAAAAAGAAUUCCAGAUUUGAACCAAUGAAAAUCGAACAUAGUCUAACAGAAGGAGUACAACUAUAUUCAGAAAAAUGAGAACUGGACAGAUUUUAAAACAAAGAAAACUAAUUAAAUAUCUCAAACUCAAACCAAUCUUUAAAGCAGGGGAUUUAAAAAAGAUUGCUAAAGCAAAAGACUACUACAAGAAGCUUUACCAGGAGACAAGCAGAGAACAUUCAAUACUAAAUAACACGUCUCAAAUAAUCAGUUUAAGGCACAAAAUAGAAAGAAAUUGCUAAAUGAGCUCACAUUUAAAAAUCAAAACGACACCAACAUCUAUUUUGAGAAACAAAGAAACCUUGAAAUAAUCCGCAUGAUACAGAGGAAUUAAAAGGAGACUUAACCAUCCAAACUAAAAAAUAAAUAAAAAAUGUCUAGCAUAAGACAAACAAGAAGCUUCUCAUCCAUUUCCGAUACAACUAAGAAAAACUAAAACUAUUAAGAGCGAAUUUGCGGGUAUUUAAGAAACUAUUAAGACAAGAAAUAAAAUACUAAGACCUUAGUUUUAAAUCUAAUUAACCAAUUUACAUAUUCAAGUUUUCAAAUCAGUGAACUGUUAGCCAUAACACAUAACAAAAAUUAGCAUCUACAAUAGAAAUUAACAUAUAGAGUAGAAACUAUACCAAGCAAGAAUAAAUAGUCUAGAACAGAAAACUUAACAACAUAAAAAUAAAGAAACUUAUGAGACUAAACCCACAUAAAACAACAAAGAAAUCAUACUAUCCAAAUGCUCGAACCAACUUAAGGAGAGAAAAGAAUUUACCUUUUGCCGAGCAGGAACCAAGACGACGAGCUCGAGAAUGACACCACCUUCAACUCUGUUGGUAAAUUUUAGUAGUAUGAGUUUUAGAAAGCAGAGAAGUCAAGAAGAAUAUUGGUAGAAGAACAUUUUUAUUGAUGUCUUCAGAUUUCAUUUAUAAGACUGGAAUGAAAAACAGAAAGCAGUAAACCCACUACUAGCAUAUUCCUAACUCACUAACUUACUCCUAAAUGAUAGGAAUAAAUGGCUAACAACUAAUUGACUAAGUCUUAUCUAAUAUAAUGCAGUAAAAGUAAAAGUGCAGUUGAAAAAGCAAAUUCCUAACACUCCUCCUUGCUUUGGAAACUGCAAACUCCAAUUUUCUGUCUAAGAAGCUGAAACUUGCCGACUGGUAAAGGCUUAGUGAAUAUAUCAUCCAAUUGUUCUUCCGUCUUGCAGUAGACAAGAGUUAUAUCUCCAUCUUUUUGCACUUCUCUCAAGAAAAAGAACUUGAUUUUGAAGUGCUUAGUUCUUCCAUGAAACACAGGAUUGUGAGAUAUAGCUAUUGCUGCUUCAUUGUCCACGAACACUUUGAUGCUUCCAGUCGGUUCCAUAUGCAAAUCAACCAGAAUUUUCUUCAGCCACAAUGCUUGAUUUACUGCUGCUGCAGCUNNNNNNNNNNNNNNNNNNNNNNNNNNNNNNNNNNNNNNNNNNNNNNNNNNNNNNNNNNNNNNNNNNNNNNNNNNNNNNNNNNNNNNNNNNNNNNNNNNNNNNNNNNNNNNNNNNNNNNNNNNNNNNNNNNNNNNNNNNNNNNNNNNNNNNNNNNNNNNNNNNNNNNNNNNNNNNNCCUGAAGUACUCUUUGCAUCAUCCUCGGAACCGCCCCAAUCACUGUCGGAAUACCCACAAAGCUUCACAGGUUGACUCUUCUGAAACUUGACUCCAUAGGUGAUGGUUCCUUUGAUGUAUCGCACAACUCUUUUGGCUGCCUGCAAAUGUACUUCACUAGGACAAUGCAUGAAUCUUGAUAAAACACUUACAGCAUACAAUAUAUCAGGUCUUGUUGCUGUAAGAUACAUUAAACACCCAAUGAAACUUCUGAAGUAUGUCUCAUCCACCUUUUCGGCUCCAUCAUCUUUACUUAGUUUCUCUUUUUGGUUCAUGGGAGUACUAAUCUCUUUGCAAUUGUCCAUUUUGAAUUUCUUGAGAAUUUCCUUUGCGUACUUUUUCUGGCAAACGAAAAACUCAUCUUUUCCUUGUGUAAUCUCCAUUCCAAGGAAAUAUGUCAUAAGACCAAGAUCAGACAUUUCAAAAGCUGGCAUCAUAGCUUGCUUGAACUCCUCAAUUAGCUUUUCACUGCUCCCUGUAAUCAAAAGGUCAUCCACAUAAAGAGAAACAACAAGAAUCUCACUGCCAUUAUGUUUAACAUACAAUGUGAAUUCUGAAAGACUCUUUUCAAAAUCGAGACCGAGAAAAUAAUCAUCUAUUCGACUAUACCAAGCUCUUGGUGCUUGUUUUAAGCCAUAAAGAGCUUUAUGUAGUCGAUAGACUUUAUCUUCCUUUCCAUCUAUAACAAAUCCUUCAGGUUGCUCAACAUAAAUUUCUUCUUCAAGAAUGCCAUUAAGAAAUGUUGAUUUGACAUCUAUUUGAUGCACUUUCCAGCCACGUUGUGCAGAAACAGUUAUAAGCAAUCUGAUUGUGUCGAGCCUAGCAACAGGAGCAAAAGUGUCAGAAUAAUCUACACCAAAAAUCUGUGCAUAACCCUUAACUACAAGCCUUGCUUUAUGCUUGUUGAUUGAACCAUCAGCAUUUAGCUUGGUUCGGAACACCCACUUUACCCCAAUUACUUUUCUGCCUUGAGGUUUGUCAACAAGUUGUCAUGUAUCAUUUUUUUCGAUCAUAAACAACUCCUCCUCCAUUGCAUUUCUCCAAUUGGGGUCUUUUAGAGCAUCUUUAGGGUUAGCAGGUUCACGAAUCGCAACAUUGCAUCUCUCAUAUAUAUCAGAGAGCAAUCGAGUUCCCCGAACUGGUGGAUCAUCGUCCCUUUCAUUUAACCACGAGCUUGUUUUUUGGAUGGAAUUCCUUGAGUCAUCCCAAUCCCAUUCUUCAUUCUCCAUGAAGUGGACAUCUCUGCUGAUAAUUAUCUUCUCACCUUCAGGUUGAAAGAUUUUGUACGCUUUUGAAACAUUACUGUAGCCAAUAAAAAUGCCCGGGGCAGCCUUCUUAUCUAGUUUAUCCCGUUUGACCUGAGGUACAUAGGUAAAACAAAGACAACCAAACACUUUAAGAAAAUGCAGUGGAGGCUUGUAUCCAUACCAUGCUUCAAAAGGAGUUUGAUCUUUCACAGCUUUUGAGGGAAGUCGAUUUUGUAGGAACAUAGUUGUACUUGCUGCCUCUGCCCAAAACAUCUUUGGCAAAUUCUUUUCGUGCAACAUACAUCUUGCCAUCUCCAUGAUAUAUCUGUUUCUUCUCUCACUAACUCCAUUUUGUUCUGGAGUAUAAGGAGCAGUAAGUUGACGUUCAAUCUCUGCUUCUUCACAAAAUAGAUCAAACUGAUGAGAAUUGUACUCCUUGCCAUUGUCAGAUCGUAAAAUCUGAAUUUUGCAGCAACUUUCAUUUUCCAACUUCGCUUUCAACUUCGAAAAAAUGAUCUUGACCUCCGAUUUAUACUUUAAAAAAUAAAUCCUGCAUCUUCAGGUCAGAUCAUUAAUAAAAAUAACAUAAUAAAGACUACCUUUAAGUGAAGGAGUCCUUUGGGGCCCUCCAAUAUCGGUGUGAACCAGCUGCAACUUUCUUGUUGCUCUCCAAGUUGCCUUUGGGAAUGGAAGUCUACUUUGUUUUCCAAAUUGACAAGCCCGACAAUUUUUAGAACUCGCUCCCAGUUUAGAAAGGUUCUCGACUAUCACCAAUUCUUGCAUUUUGAGAAGCCCUUGAUAAUGAUAGUGUCCGAGUCUCUUAUGCCAUAACUCGGAAGCAUUUUCUCUUGCCGAAUACACCACUUGUUCUUCCUCCAAUGGAUUUAAUGAGAAACUUCUGCCUCUCAUUUUGACUUUAAACAAGUCAUGUCCUGAGGCUUCCUUGAUCAAGCAAUGAUUAUUUUUGAAAUACAAUUUGAAACCUUUUUCUAACAAUUGACCAACACUUAACAAGUUCUGAUCUAAAUCUGGUACAUAAAGAACAUCGGAAAUUGCUUUAGUACCUGAUUGUGUUUCAAUUGUAAUAGUUCCCAUUCCUUUUACCGGAAUAGAACCGCCAUGACCUAUUCUGACUUUUGUAACUCCAGUAGGCUUCAAGUCUUUAAAGAUCUCUUUGUCAUGAGUCAUAUGGUUUGUGCAUCCGCUAUCAAUCAGCCAAGACUCAGUUGAAACAUUGCUUACAAAACACGAUGCCACAAAGAGUUGAUCCUCUUCCUGUUCAUUAACAACCUGGGCAUCUGCGUCUUGCUACUGUAAUUUACUCUUGCAAAUAAUUGCUUCAUGCCCGAGUUGGUUGGACUUACUGCAUUUAGCAUCAGGCCUUUUCCAACACUUAUACGGCGCAUGACCAUUCUUUCCACAAUGCUUACAAGGAGGAUAGUUUCCUUUAAAGCUACCUGUUUUGCUUUUGUUGUUGUAACGAGCUGCUCCUUCUCCAUUUUUUGGCUGGUUCUUCUUAUUGUUUUUCUUUUUGUAUCUUCCACUCUCUUCAUGUUUGGCCGCCAAUGCUCCCUCUCUNNNNNNNNNNNNNNNNNNNNNNNNNNNNNNNNNNNNNNNNNNNNNNNNNNNNNNNNNNNNNNNNNNNNNNNNNNNNNNNNNNNNNNNNNNNNNNNNNNNNNNNNNNNNNNNNNNNNNNNNNNNNNNNNNNNNNNNNNNNNNNNNNNNNNNNNNNNNNNNNNNNNNNNNNNNNNNNNNNNNNNNNNNNNNNNNNNNNNNNNNNNNNNNNNNNNNNNNNNNNNNNNNNNNNNNNNNNNNNNNNNNNNNNNNNNNNNNNNNNNNNNNNNNNNNNNNNNNNNNNNNNNNNNNNNNNNNNNNNNNNNNNNNNNNNNNNNNNNNNNNNNNNNNNNNNNNNNNNNNNNNNNNNNNNNNNNNNNNNNNNNNNNNNNNNNNNNNNNNNNNNNNNNNNNNNNNNNNNNNNNNNNNNNNNNNNNNNNNNNNNNNNNNNNNNNNNNNNNNNNNNNNNNNNNNNNNNNNNNNNNNNNNNNNNNNNNNNNNNNNNNNNNNNNNNNNNNNNNNNNNNNNNNNNNNNNNNNNNNNNNNNNNNNNNNNNNNNNNNNNNNNNNNNNNNNNNNNNNNNNNNNNNNNNCAAGGUAUGUGAGCUUUUAGUGUUGGGUGAUCCUUUCCCCCACACACCUAGCCCUUUUUUUUCUUAUCAAGAAAGGAUGGGCUUGUUGAUAAAGUUGUUAGUUGUUGUGGUUGNNNNNNNNNNNNNNNNNNNNNNNNNNNNNNNNNNNNNNNNNNNNNNNNNNNNNNNNNNNNNNNNNNNNNNNNNNNNNNNNNNNNNNNNNNNNNNNNNNNNUGGAUCCAUUAGGAAGUUCAGGUCCUAUACCUUUGGCUGGGUAUAACAUGCGCUGGCAGCGUGAGGUAGAUCGUUGUAUCAUCACUAUAGCUCUUAAGUGAUGGUUGUCGGUUAGAGAAACUCCCACAAAAGUUAUUGUAUUUUUAUAUGCACGGUUGAUUGUAUUUUUACAUACAUUUCAGAGUUAUGUUGUAUCCUUGCAUACACACAGAGUUGACAGCAUGUUUUUAAAUAGUUUGUUUCUUUAUAUUGCACUUGUUUUAAAUUGCUUUAUAUUCAAAUGAGUUCAGCCAUAUUGAGUUGAGUACCCAGAGUCGAAUAUCAUAUCUUUGAGUUGAGUAUCUAAUCUCUGAGUUGAGUAUCUUAUCCUUGGGUACUUCUGAGUUGAGUAAUUUGAGUAGUUUUGAGUAUCCUUGAGUAUUCCUUGAUUUGAGUAAGUUUCAGAAGAGAUAAGUAUGCUUCCUUUUUAUCAAGUUUCAAGCUUAUGUUAUGCUUUAGAAUUCCCCUUACAUGCUCGUACAUUCCACGUACUGAGUCAUUUGACCUGCACUUUCUCAUGAUGCAGACACAAGUAUUCAGGAUCAUCAACAGGAGCUUCGUUGAUACAUCCGAGAGUUCGAGGUAGCUAUGGUGAGCCUCCUAGUUUCCGAAGGAUUUCAUUUACUUUUAAGUUUAGUCAGGAUGUCGUGGGUCUUGUCCCGACUUCCAUCUUUAUCAAUUAGAGGUUUUCAUAGAUAGUCAGUAUAGUUGAGAAGUCUGUAUCAUUUAUUUUAUUAAAUGUUUUAAAGACUUAAGUUGCCUAUUUUAUGGCGAGUUGAAUAAUUUAUUUUAUUAUUCAGAGUUUUCAUUUGAGUUAAAGUUGUAAUUUAAGUUUUAUGUAACUUUUGUUUCUAGUUUUAAGCUUUGUAUGCUUGAAUCUAGUUUUCCGCUUGUAGUCAGCCGAGGAUGGAGGGUUCGCUUGGGGACCAGCAAUGGUCUUCGAGUGCCGGCCACGUCCAGGGUGUAGGCUCGGGUCGUGACAAAAUAAAUGGUCUCAAGUCUUUAAUUUUACAAGAUACAUCAUCUGCAUAUUCUAUUCACUGUUUUGCUCACCAAUUGCAAUUGGCACUUCUAGGUCUUUCCAAAAAGAAUUAGGAUGUGGAUAAUUUUUUUUAUGUUCUCACUAAUAUUUUGAAUACUAUUGAAGCUUCAUUUAAACGCAGAGAUUCACUUCGACAACAUCAAGAAGAUAAGUUGGAAAAGUUGCUUAAAUUUGGAGAAGUUCAUACAGGGUAAGGUUUGAAUCAAGAACGUGGCCUCCAACGACCGGGUGAUACUCGUUGGGGGUCUCAUUUUAAAACCUUGGACAAUUUCCUAAUUUUUUUUUCUUCAAUUGUUAAUGUGCUUAAGAAUAUGAAACGUGAUUGUCCAUAUCAUCUUGAUAGAUUUGCGGCGGAAAAUCUUUUGAGCAAGAUUCAUGAAUUUGAAUUUGUCUUUAUGUUGCACUUGAUGUUUAAGGUGUUGCUAUUGACGAAUGAGUUGAAUAAAGUUUUACAAAAGAAAGAUCAAAUAUCGUAAUGCUGUGGGAUUGCUUGGCCUUUCAAAGAAACGAUUGCAAAUGAUGAGAGAGGAUGAAUGGGACUCUAUGAUGGAUGAGGUUAGCUUAUUUUGUGGUAAACAUGGAAUUUCAAUUCCCAAAAUGAAUGAAGACUACUCUAAUGGGAAGUCGAAGCGUAAGAGGUCCAAUAUUUCAUAUUUGCAUCACUUUCGUGUGGAAGUAUUUUAUGCCGUCAUUGAUUUGGCACUUCAAGAACUCAAUAAUCGUUUUGAUGUGGUGACUAGUGACUUGCUCCUCGGUAUGGCUAGUUUGAGUCCGGUUGAUUCAUUUGCUAAUUUUCACAAGGAUAGGAUAAUGAAACUAGCCGAGUACUACCCAAGUGAGUUUGGUGAUAAAGAGCUUCGGGAACUCAAUUUUCAACUUGAUGAUUUUAUUGUCUAUGCUCAAAAGUGUGAUAGCAAGUUUCUCAACUUGAAGGGAAUCAAGGAUCUUGCAAAAGUGAUGAUAGAGACAAAACUAGAUCAAACUUGGUCACUUGUGUAUCUACUUGUGAAGCUAACUUUGAUUAUUCCUGUUGCUACCGCAAGCGUGGAAAGAGCAUUCUCAUCAAUGAAGUACAUAAAGAAUGAUUUGCGUAAUAGGAUGGAUGAAGAUCUUUUGAAUGGUUGUUUAGUUUGCUAUAUAGAGCGUAGUAUAUUUAAAAAUGUAAGUAAUUAUGCCAUUAUUGACCGUUUUCAAAAUAUGAAAACUCGUCGAGGACAAUUGUAAGUGAAUGAUGUUUUUUGCUAAUAUAUUACUAUAUAAAGAUUGCUACUACCUACUUGCUCGUCAACUUGUUCUCACCGUAAAAUUUAUAUAAUUGAAUUAAUUGUCUAUUUUGAAGAUAAUGGUGCCCCCAUGUUCUUGAGAUCCUGGAUACGCCUCUGGAGAGUACGUAAUAAAACAACUUGCACUUCGGGUGAUAGUGAAGAAAAUUAUAUACAUUCCCUUUAUUAAAUAAAAUACUUUGAUUUAUUUCUCAUCUUAAACCUAUUAAUUUUCACAAAUAUGAUUACUUAAAAUAAUUAUCAGCCAUAUAUUAUUGAGAAGUUAAUGUUUUUGACGAUUAACACUAGAAAGAAUUUGUAAAAUGUGAGCUAUAUAUCAAUUCCCUACUUGCACUUGCUAUAACAGGUAGUAAUUUAUAUUAGAGGGGUGAAAAAAUCUAAUCGAUCGAUAAACUAAAAUGAAAAAAGUGCUAUUGAUUUAUUGUUAUUGGGUUAUUGGGUCAACGAGGUUUUAAUGGUUUUAUAGAAAGAAAAAAAAUAUUGGGUUACCGGUUCGAUUUUAAUUUUUAAUAUUGGGUUAUUGGGUAUAACGAUAACCCAAUAAGACUAUAAUAAUUUACUAUUUUACUCAUACAUAAACAUUAAAUAUUAAUCGCAAUACCUUACUAGUUAGUGCAUUUGUCCUUUCACCUUCACAUCACACUUCACAGUGAUCACUUUAAGUUCAAAAAUUCACAUUAUACAAAACGUCAAAAUAUAAAGUAAGAAGCAUAUUCCUCUUAGUUUUUUUUUGUGUUACACUUGUAUAAUUCUUUUCAUGUUAGUUAUUAUUGUUUCUAUUUUAUGAGUAUUUGUAAAGUUACGGUAUUAUCUUGCCGCGUUAAAUUGUUUGAGAAGUCAUAUAUUUGUUUUAUAAGUAUUUUCUUAUUGGUUAAAUCAAAUAUCGAACCGCUAAGGACCCAAAACCAAUAAAAAAAUAUUUAAUUGAUUUGGUUAUUGAUUAAACGAAUUUAUAAACCGAUAAAUCAAACCAAUAAAAUACGACCCUAAUUUAUAUUUGCGAGUAUUGAUUAUUGAAGAAGAGAAGAAACGAAAGCUACUGCUAAUUCCAAAGGUAAAUAUACAUAAGUGAUAAGACAAUAAAUAAAUAUGUUUUACAAAUCACAAGCCACAAAUACAUCAAGCAAUCAAACAUUUAUUUAUUUAUUUAUUACAAUUACAAUUUACAAUCAAUCAUUCUGAAAUGCAUCUGCAAUUCAUUAGACAUAAAAUAUUUAGUUGAUUCAUUAAAUAAAAUUGUAAUUAACGUAGCAAACUAACCUAUUGACGCAUUGUGAAUUUCAUAUUCUCAGCUUUGCAAGACGUUCAGAGAGACUAAUUGGAGAACCGCUGCCUUGUACAAGUAACAACUUUUUCAAUUUAGGCAUACUGACAUCAUCCCUACACAUUACUUCAGACAACCCAUCUGGUUCAUUAAUAUGCAGAAAUUCAAGUUGCGGAAAGCUAUCACCACCAGAGAGAUCCAUUUUUUCUUCCAUAUGACUGCACCAAUCCAUUUUAAGUAUCCUUAAUUUGGGUAAUUUCUUAAGCACUGCCACUACAUGACCGUCUACCUUAUAGCGGACAAGAGUAAGCUUGACAAGAUUUGGAGGGAAUGCUUCAGAGUUCAAGCGCAUUGUUCCGCAAACAUUGAUCAAACACAACUUAACAAUAUUUGGAUAGGACGACAAGUUUAUUUGCUCACUCAUGUGCCUGGAAACACUGAGCUUCAGAACUUCCAGCGCCGUUGGCACAGGGCUCAAUGCUGAUAAUAUCUUAACUGUAGAAUCAGAUACUCCUAUUAUACCCAGUUUUCUUAAAUUCAUCAAUCGGUGCAACAAUGUCGCCUCAAAAAAUUUAUCAUCCAGCCACAUCAAAGUUUGUACAUUAUUAUGAGCCAAUGAGUACAAGUUUGGAAAAAUUGGGCUUAUAGAAAAGCAACUGUUAGAUGCUUGAUUAGAACCUCCAUAACAAAGAUGUUUCAAUUGUGUAGACUUCCAAACACCAGCAGGAAAUUUAAUUAAGCUAUAACCAAUAUCGAGGGUCUCUAGACGUUUGAGCUUCAGCAUACAAUUUGGCAGUUUCCCAUAAAUAUGCCCCUGGAAUCGCAGAUAACGUAAGCAACUCAUGUUCCCAAAUGUGUUUGGGAUACUGACAUCACAAAUAUCAUCAACAAAGAUGACUACAACCAACACUUGCAAUAAUUUGAAAUCAAGAUGAGCCAGUUGAGAAAAUAUGCAAGGGUCUUCUGUAAAACAGAAAAGUGCACGAAGCUUCUCAAGCUUAGUAUUUGAACGGAAGAACUCAUUCAUGACAUUAUUAUCAGAGUAGAAUGUAAUCCUUCGCACCCUAGCAACAUUGCCGGGAUCACCAAAUGCAUUGUGCUCGGUGUGAAAGAAGUUGCUUUCCUUAGCCAAGUCAACACAUAAACUAUGUAACAAGUCAUGUAUGCGACAACUUGAAAUUCUUCCAUCAUAUGUCCUUUUGGCAACUUGAAUCAUGUUUCUUGAAACCAAAUCAUUUAGGACAUCAUCCGCCACACUUUCAGCCUCUCGCCCAUUGCCACUAUUUACAACUAUCAACUUCUCAGCAAUCCACAUAUUUGUCAAAUCAAAAGCACGAAUUUCAUGAUCCUCGGGGUAAAGGCCAAAAUACAAGAAACAUGGCCUUAAUGCAAUUGGCAAAUCAUUGUAACUCAGAGCCAAUACCUUAGCACAUCCAUCUUGAACUUUAUGGCUCAUACUCUCAAGUACUCUGUUCCAUGCACGUUCUGUUCUUUCUCUUGCCCUUAACAUGCCUGCGGUCACCUCAAUGGCUAGAGGUAUACCUCCACAUCUCCCAACUAUAUUUCUACCAAUAUCUACCAACUCUGGUGAAGCAUUGGCCCAAUUAUUAUUGUUAUCAAAAAUAAAGAUUUUCUUGGUAAAGAGUUCAAAACUGUUCUCCGAAUUUAGAGGUUGCAACACGUGAAUUGAGAAAUCCCCUCCUAUAUAUCUGACUACAUUACUAUUUCGAGAGGUUAUAAUUAUCCUACUGCCAAUUUUUGAAUCACAUUCAGGAAAGACAAGUUUUAGAUCAUCCCAAAUUUCAACAUCCCAAAUGUCAUCUAAGAGGAUAACAUACCUUUUUAUUUUCAAGAGUGACCGUAGGUUGUUCUCCAAGUUUUCUUUCCUUUCAUCUUCCGUCAGUCCAACUUGUUUGGCUAUGUCCUGUAAGAUUUCUCCCGCCCUUGGCUGUUGUGAAACGUAGACCAGUCCCCGAACACUCAAAUUGAUGACGGACAUGCCUAUAAAGUUUCUUGGCAAGAGUUGUUUUUCCCAAUCCGGGCAUGCCAACUAUUGAAACAACUCCAUAAGGCAAAUCUUGAUCAAGUAAUUUGGCUUGUAGCAUUUUGAAGUCAUCAUCCAAACCGAUGACCUCUGUUCAUCAGCAUGAAGGAAUAAUCUUCUCUUGGUCCAAUGGAAUGCAAUCAUCAUUAUUGUUGUUACUUGUAUCCAUGAUGUUGUAAGUUGUCCUUACACGGUCAAUAUCAGCAACUCUCUUUUUAUCUUCUCAAUCUCCAUAGCAAACUCAUCGGCAAAAGAAACCGUCUUAAGGCAACAAAUGAACUUAUUGGAUUGUUGAAUUUUUGGAAGAAACUCAUCUAAUAGAUCCUCCACAUCACCUGCCAGUUGUUGAAUAUCUUUUAAUAAGUUUUUGACCCUUGAAUCGCCUCCAACUUCCUUGGCCUUUGCAUCGUCUACAUAUGAUCGAAUGUGUCUCAUUUCUCUCUGGAGCCAAUCGAUGUCUUCUUUCAACCAAUAUAAACGCGUUCCUUGUUGAAAGAGUAGAUUUCCAGCUAUUUCUACAGAUUUAUUGAUGACUGCUGUAAGAAGAAUUUCAGCCAUUUCUUUUUCAGUAGCUACAAAAAACUGAUCAGAAUGAUUAAUUAGGAAAAGUAAGAAAAAGAAGAUCAGCUUAUACUAUAUAUUUGCUUUUGCUUUUUAGUGAUAGCUGGAGUCCAUGGCAAAGUCUCCUAAUAAUGUCAAGUAAAGGUGGGGCAGCUGCACACGAAUCAAAAAGGAGAAAUACAUUAUACUCUCAUCUUAUUAUAACAAUCAUUUUCGGUAACAAUAUAUUUUUUUUCUUUUUUUUAAAGAACUAUUGUUAUAUUAUAAGUGGUUUUUUUUAUAUAUACAUUAUACUAUAAACAUUUCAGGACAAACGACUUCCUUUAUAAAGGUUUGAUUGUAUGAGUACGUAGCAAAAAAAAUUUGAAAGCAUCAAAUCGCAUAAAAACCUAAAAAUUCAUGGAACAUACAAAUUGAGUCUUAUAAUAGCCCAAAUUGGGUAAAGUUUUGCAAGGGACGGACGGAAUAAUUUAUUUUCACUAUUCUACUGGCAUCUUAUCUACUGCAUGUGCGUCCUACUGUGGACUCCAACAAUAAAGCAAAUAGUUGAUCACUUCAGACUUAUUCCAUCAACUAUUUGAAUACAGUGAUAUUUCAAAAAGAAAAUAGUAAAUAAUUGAGAGAAGUAUUGAAAACGUACCCCUCUAAAUUUGGUGUCAAUUAUUAGUUUUAUCUUUGAACUAUUGACAAUUUUAAAAACAUAUUUUUACUUGACUAACUGAACUUACAAGUUACAUAUAGCCCAAUCUUGCAAUAUGAGUGAAAUACACCCUUAAAUUUUCGUCAAGUUUAGGAGUAUUUUAAUUUCAACACUUAUCUCGAUUUUUUAUUAAGAGUAUUAUGCUUCUAUAAGAGUUUGAGACCACUUGUCAUGUAACUGAUCGGGGCGUUCGGCGGUUUCGUUGCGCUGUAGUGGAUUUGAGUUAUAAAUCUUUAAGUAAAAGUAGCUAUACAUUAUGUAUCGAUCUACUAUUCAUUGUAAUUAAUUAGACAUGAACUAAGUAACAAACAAAAAUUAGUUUAUCGAGGAUAUUAAACGUAAAUAAUUAUAGUGGCCACUAACCUGUAGACACAUUGAUAUUAAACGUAAAUAUUCAAUGAAUUUUUAACAUAAAUAUAUGAUUUUAGCUAAUAUUAUUAAAUUUUAUUGAACACAUAGCUAGAAUUCUAACUUUGAUUGUGUGAGAUUUUUAGUUUUUGCAGAAUUUUUUAGCAAACAAAAGUCAUUAUUAGGAAGGCCAGCUCCUUAUGAUACCUUGUAAGAUGGAUUUUUUAAACUUUUAUGUUGAAAUCUUUUAUAGUUUGGGGAUGAAAUGUGUAGAAAUUUUAUUCUUUAAAGAUGUAUACCUUGUGUUUGACAUAAAUAAAACCAAAACACACAUAAACAAAAAAUUGAUUAAAGUAUACUUGUAUUUUUAUUUUUAUUUCAAAUUAUUGAAUGUUGGAGUUAUAAUCAGGAGUCUGGUCAUGACCAAUUCUACACCUUAAAAUGAAAUGUAAAUAUAGUCCUACAAAUUAUAAACUCAACAAAUAUUGGGGUCGAUUCCAUGAAGAGUGUGUGCAUGUGUCAAUGUGUCCAAAAGUGUGUAUUUGUGAAUUUCCUAAAUUUUGUGUGCGUGUGUAAUUAAACAAUUUAUUUACUACUAGUUCUAACUAUUCCCUCCAUUUCAUAUUAAUUUAAUUUUUAAGGUAUUUUUUAUUUUUUAAAUUAAUUUAAUUGUUCAGUUUUCAAAACUACUUUUAGAGUGUUCUUCCAAUUUUACCCUUCAUUAGUUAGUAUUGGAAUUAGCGAUUAAUUAAUAUUUAGUUAUUUUAAUCAUAAAUUUGAUAAUAAUUAAUAAGGGUAAAAAUAGAAAACUAUAUUCAAUUUAUGUCUUAAUCUACUUUUUUUAAAGGGUGUAAAACACCUCAAAAUUAAAUUAAUAUGAAAUGGAGGGAGUAUUUUGUAAUAAUCAAAUAUAAAUUAAAGCAAAAAAGAAAAAGAAAAAUAGUAGGUGUACCUGAUAGGUUGGAAUUUGGCUGAUGCAGUUCCUUGAUUGGAGUAAAUAUUAAUUAUAAGUGUUUUUUUUUUCAAAAGAUGGAAAUUGACAAAUUAACCAAGCACCUCAAUUCUAUUUAUAAGUAUCUUUUAAAAAAAUAUAUAUAUUAGUUCAAUACUUGAAUUGAAUGUGAGGGUAAGAUGGGUCAUAAUUUCCAAAUUAUUCUUUACUUGAAACAAUAUAUAGGCAUCUUACCUUUUUUCUCAUGAAAAAGCAAAAGGAAAGUAUAAUGUUGGAGAAUUAAAAAAAUAAUAAUCAUGUUUUCACUUUUGUCUGGAUGUAAAUGUUACAAAAGAAAUAAAUGAAUAUUUCAAACGGAAGUAUUUUUCGUGAAGAACUCUUUUUUUUCCACUUUAGUUGUAACUAUUCAUUCUAUAGUUCUAUUCCAUAUUAGUUGAUCAUUUUAUUAAAAAAUAUAAUUGUCCAUUUUUAUAAAUUAAGAAAGCAUUAAUUAAUUUUUUUCCUAUAUUAUUCAUGCAAUUAAUUCUUUUUUUAAAUGUUCAUAUUUGUUUGUUAAAUUUCCAAUAAAAAAUUUCAGAGAUGAAUCAAUAAACUGAACUUCUUAUUUAUGAUUUCUUGAUAUGCUUGUAAAAAGGAAAAUGAUCAACUGAGAUCGGGAGAGUAAUAAAAUAACUUGCAAUUCGCGUGAUAGUGAAGAAAAUUAUAUACAUUCCCUUUAUUAAAGAAAAUACUUUAAAAAGGAAAAGUAAUACUUUCAAUUAUUUUACAAAUAUAUUUUAUUAAAUAAUCUAUAAUAUACAAAAUAAAUAUUAUGAUUUUUAAUUGAGAAAGGUAACGAUCACCAAUAAUGAAGAAAAAAAGUACUACAAUUACUACUUGAGAAAUAUCAUUACACUAAUAAUAAAAAUAUGAUUUAAAGUAAAAAAGUUUCAAAAAAUAAUAAUAAUAUCUGAAGCCUACACGUGAAGUGAGGAAUCUCCUCCUAUGUAUCUGCCUACAUUACUAUUUCGAGAUGUGAUUAUUAUCCUACUGCCAAUUUUUGAGUCAGGAAGGAAAAAAUUCAGAUAAUUCCAAAUUUCAACAUCCCAAAUGUCAUCUAAGAGGAUAACACACCUUUUUCUUUGCAAGAGUGAGCUUAGGUUGCCUUCCAAGUUCUCUUUCCUUUCCUGUUCCGUCAGUCCAACUUGUUUGGCAAUGUCCUGUAAGAUUUCUCCUGCCCUUGCCUGCUGUGAAACAUAGACCAAUCCUGAACAUUCAAAUUGAUGACGGACAUGCCUAUAAAGUUUCUUGGCAAGAGUUGUUUUUCCUAAACCGGGCAUGCCAACUAUUGAAACAACUCCAUAAGGCAAAUCAUGAUCAAGUAAUUUGGCUUGUAGCUUAUUGAAGUCAUCAUCCAAACUGAUGACCUCUAUUUCAUCAGCAUGAAGGAAUAAUCUUCUCUGGUCCAACGGAAUGCAAUCAUUAUUGUUGUUACUUGUAUCCAUGAUGCAUGUUAUAAGUUGUCCUUACACGAUCAAUACCCGCAACCCUUCGGCAAAAGAAACUGUCUUAAAGCAACAAAUGAACUUAUUGGAUUGUUGAAUUUUUGGAAGGAACUCAUCAAAGAGAUCCUCCACAUCACUUGCGAGUUGUUGAAUAUCUUUUAAUAAAUUUUUGACCCUUGAAUCGCCUCCAACUUCCUUGGCCUUUGCAUCGUCCACAUAUGAUUGAAUGUGUCUCAUUUCUCUCUGGAGCCAAUCGAUGUCCUCUUUCAACCAAUAUAAACGCGUUCCUUCUUGCACGAGUAGAUUUCCAGCUAUUUCUACAGAUUUAUUGAUGACUGCUGUGAGAAGAAUUUCAGCCAUUUUUUGUCUUUCUUUUUCAGUAUCAACAAAAAACUGAGUAUGAGUAAUUAGGAAAAGUAGGAAAAAAAGACGAUCAGUAUACUGUUUGCUUUUGCAUUUUAGUGAUAGCUGGAGUCCUAAUAAUGCCAAGUAAAUGAUAAACAAAAGAAACAAGAAAGGUGGGGCAGCUGCACACUAAUGGAAAAGGAGAAAUACAUUAUACUCUCAUCUUACUAUUAUACUCUAACAAUCAUUCUUGAUAACAAUAUAAUUUUUUCCUUUUUAAAAAAACUAAUGUAAUAUUAUAGUGUAUUAUAAGUGUUUUUUUUUAAAUAUCGUGUAAUUGAUUAGUUAUACUAAGAUGUUUACUUAGUUAUGUAGUUUUUUCGGAAAAAAAAAGUAUAUUAUCAAUCGGCCACAAAAAAUAAAAAAACUUAAAUUGGGACGGGCGGAAUAAUUUCUUUUCACUAUUCUACUGACAUCUUAUCCACUGCAUGUGUUGUCCUUAUUGUGGACUCCAACAAUAAAGCAAAUAGUUUAUCACUUUAGACUUAUUCCAUCAACUAUUUGAAAUUUCAAUUCACAAUUUUUGAAUAAAGUGAUAUUUCAAAAAGAUAAUAAAUAAUUGAGAGAACUAUUGAAAACGUACCCCUCUAAAUUUGGUGUCAAUUAUUAGUUUCAUUUUUGAACUAUUGACAAUCUUAAAAACAUUAUUUUACUUGACUAAUUGAACUUACAUACACACCGAUCUUACAACGUGAGUGAAAUACACCCUUAAAUUUUCGUCAAGUUUAGGAGUAUUUUAAUUUCAACACUUAUCUCGACUUUUUAUUAAGAGCAUUAUGUUUCUAUAAGAGUUUGAGACCACUUGCUAUGUCAUGUGACUGAUCGGGGUGUUCAGCGGUUUAGUUAGUCAAGUAGAGGGAUGGUUUUUAGACUGUCAAUAAUUUGUAGAUGAAACUAAUAAUAUUUUUUUCGAAUUUAUACCACUAAACAAAGAGUCUAGCCAUUUUUCUAAUAAUGUGCACUAAGUUUAAGGUGUUUUUCUAUACUUCUCUCUAAAUAAUUUUCAUAAUCAAACAUGAUGUUAAAAUAACUUUCUCAAUCUUGACAAUUGCUUAUUUACAAACUAUUAUGAAUUCGCCACUAUGGUAGACACACUGCUACCAAAACAAGAGGAUGCAUGUUGUACAUUAAUUCCAAAAACACCCUCUUCAAAAAGCAAGGUACAACACCUCUAAGCAGUAAAAUUACUCUCGAGUCCCUUACUAUUUGGAGCUAUUAAGCACAUAUAUAUUUUUUUUCACUCUGAAAAAGUCGAAAUAUAUACCCUUUGUCCUUGUGAUUAGCUUCAUAAUGUUUCAGAUAAAUAUAGAAGCUAUAUUUAUUGUGUCGCGUAAUUUAUUACUCCCUCCAUCUCAAUUUAUGUGAGAUAGUUUGAUUUGGUACGAAGUUUAAGAAAGAAAUGAAGACUUUUAAAAUUUGUGGUUCAAAAUGAAUUAUAUAAAUUUGUGUGGCUGUAAAUCAUUUCAUUAACGGUAAAGUAGACAUUUCAUAGUUAAAUUGUUACUUACUCCCUCCGUCCCAUUUUAUGUGGCAACAUUUUGACCCCGGCACGGGAGUUUAAGAAAUAAAUGAAGACUUUGAAAUAUUUACCAAAUUGCCCUUUAAAAAGUAGACUCACUUUUCUCUCUCCUCAUAAAUGUAUUGGAGUAUUAUUUUAAGAUUAAGUGAGACCAACAAGGGUAAAAGAGGAGUUGUACCUUUAAAUACUUACCAUAUAAGGAAAUGUGACAUUCUUUUUGGGACUGACCAAAAAGGAAAUGGUGCCACAUAAAAUGGGACGGAGGGAGUAAUAUAAAAAUGUGUCAUUCUCUUUUGGACAGAUCAAAAAGGAAAGUAAGUCACAUAAAUUGAUAUGGAGGGAGUAUUUAUCCAUCCAUUAUUCUCAUAAAAAUAUAAUUUGUUUAAUAUUACUAAAUCAAAAAUAACUUUUAACGGCAAUAUAUAUAUAUACAACAUUAUCAUCUUAGAGCUAUUAGCAAAGAUCGUAGGAAAUAUGUGUUCAAUGUCAGCAAGACCUCUAUUAAUUAAACACAUUUGGAGAGAGAUGAACCAAUGUGCCGAUUUUCUGGCAAACGAAGAGCACAAGCAUAAUGAAAAUUUGAUAGUAGCCACUAACCUGUAGACACAUUGAUAUUAAACGUAAAUAUUCAAUGAAUUUUGAACAUAAAUAUUUGAUUUUAGCUAAAAUUAUUAAAUUUUAUUGAACACGUAGCUAGAAUUCUAACUUUGAUUGUGUGAGAUUUUUAGUUUUUGCAGAAUUUUUUAGCAAACAAAAGUGUCAUUAUAAGGAAGGCCAGCUGCUUAUGAUACCUUGUAAGAUGAAUUUUAAAAAAAAUUAUGUGGAAAUCUUUUAUAGUUUGGGGAUGAAAUGUGUAGAAAUUUUAAUUCUUUUAAAGAUGUAUACCUUGUGUUUGACAUAAAUAAAACCAAAACACAUAAAUAAAAAUUUGAUUAAAGUAUACUUGUAUUUUAUUUUUUUCAAAUUAUUGAAUGCUGGAGUUAUACUCUGGAGUUUGGUCAUGACCAAUUCUACACCUUAAAAUGAAAUGUAAAUACAGUCGUACCAAUUAUAAACCCAACAAAUAUUGGGGUCGAUUCCAUGAAGAGCGUGUGCAUGUGUCAAGGUGUCCAAAAGUGUGUAUUUGUAAAUUUUCUAACCUUGGACUUUUAUUGAUCCACACAGAAAAAAAAAAAACCCAAAACCCAAGAAUUGGGUCAAUAGUUUUUAAUGGUUUUAUAAAAAAAUUAUUGGAUUAUCGGUUCGGUUUUGACCUUUUAUAAUGGGUUAUUGGGUAUACUGAUAACCCAAUAAGAUUAUAGUAAUAUAGUACUUUACGCUUACAUAAAUAUUAAAUAUUAAUCUCAAUACCUUACUAGUUAGUACAUUUGUCCUAUAGCCUUAGCUUCAAACUUCAUAGUGACUUUGAGUUCAAAACUUCACAUUAUACAAAACGUCAAAAUAUAAAGUAAGAACAUUAUUCCUAUUAAUUUCUCUUUGUGUUACACUUGUAUAGUUCUCUCAAUGUUAAUUAUUAUUAUUUCUAUUUUAUGAGCAUUUGUUAGAGAAGUCAUAUAUUUAUUUUAUAAGCAUUUUCUUAUUGGUUAAACCAAUUGAUAGAUAAACCAUAACCAAAAACCGAUAAAAUGAAAUGACAAUACAUAAAAUUGACCCGAAUCGAUCGAUGCAAAGCCAUAACUUAUAUUGUAAACUUUGAUUCUUGAAGAAGAAAAUAAACUAAAGCUACUAAUUCCAAAGUAAAUAUACAUAAGACAAUAAAUAAAUCUUUUAUAAAUCACAAGCCACAAAUACGUCAACUUCAUGAAGCAAUCAAACAUUUAAUUUAUUUAUUUCAAAUACAAACAGGCAUCAGAAGAUGCUCUCCAGCAAAGACUUAAUCAUUCUCAAAUGCAUCUGCAAUUUAUUAGACAUAAAAUAUUAAGUUGAUGAAUUAAUUAAUAAAAAAUGAGCUUAUUCAGAGAUAUUAAAAGUAAAUAAUUAACCUGUUGACACAUUGGGAUUUUCAUACUCUCAGCUUUGCAAGACGUUCCGAGAGCCUAACGUCGGAAGUGGUAUCUAUACGUAAAAAUAGCUUUUUCAAUUUAGGCAUAAUCAUAUCAUCCCUGCAACUUACUUCAGACAACCCACAUGCAUACUCAAUAUGCAAAACUUCAAGUUGCGGAAAGCUAUCACCAUCACCACAGAGAUCCAUCUUUUCUUCAUUAUGUUUGCACCAAAGCAUUUUAAGUAUCCUUAAUUUGGGCAAUUUCUUAAGCACUGCCACUACAUGACCGUCUACCUCCAAGUUGUGAAGAGUAAGCUUGACAACAUUUGGAGGGAAUGCUUCACAGUUCAAGCGCAUUGUUCUGCAAAUUCUCAAAUGCAACUUAACAAUAUUUGGAUAGGACGACAAGUUUAUUUUCUCACUCAUCAUGUACCUCAAAAAUCUGAGCUUCAAAACCUCCAGCGCCUUUGGCACAGGGCUCAAUGUUGAUAAUAUCUUAACCGUAGAACCAUAUGAGCACUCUAUACCCAGUUUUCUUAUAUUGAUCAAUCGGUGCAACAAUCUCGGUUCAAAAAAAUUAUAAUCAUCCAUCCACAUCAAAGUUUGUAGAUUAUUAGGAGGCAAUGAUGAGUACACAUUUGGAAAAAAUGGGAUUAUAGAAAAGCAAUACAUACAUACUUUAUCGAAAGAUUUAUAACGAAGAUGUCUCAAUUGUGUAGACUUCAAAACACCAGUAGGAAGAUCAAUGAAGCUUUUACCAAUAUCUAGGGUCUCUAGAUGUUUGAGCUUCAACAUACAAUUCGGCAGUUUCCCAUAAAUAUCCCCCUCCAAUCGAAGAUAGCGUAAGCAACUCAUGUUUCCAAACGUGUUUGGGACACCACAACAAUCAUAAUAGGACAUGACUACAACCAACACUUGCAAUAAUUUGAAAUCAAGAUGAGCCAGUUGAGAAAAUAUGCAAGGGUCUGUUGUGAAACAGAAAAGUGCACGAAGCUUCUUAGGCUUAGGAUUUGAACGAAAGAACUCAUUCAUGGCAUUAUUAUCCGAGUAGAAUGUAAUUCUUCGCACCCUAGCAACAUUGCCGGGAUCACCAAAUGCAUUGUGCUCGGUGUGAAAGAAGCUACUUUCCUUAGCCAAGUCCACACACAAACUAUGUAACAAGUCAUGUAUGCGACAACUUGAAAUUCUUCCAUCAUAUGUCCUUUUGGCAACUUGAAUCAAGUUUCUAGAAACCAAAUCAUUUAGAAUAUCCUCAGCCAAACUUUCAGCCUCUCGCCCAUUGCCACUAUUUACAACUAUCAGCUUCUCAGCAAUCCACAUAUUUGUCAAAUCAAAAACACGAAUUUCAUGGUCCUCGGGGAAAAGGCCAAAGUACAAGAAACAUGGCCUUAAUGCAAUGGGCAAAUCAUUGUAACUCAGAGCCAAUACCUUAGCACAUCCAUCUUGAACUUUAUGGCUCAUACUCUCAAGUAACCUGUUCCAUGCAUGUUCCGUUCUUUCUCUUGCCCUUAGCAUGCCUGCAGUCACCACAAUGGCUAGUGGUAUACCUCCACAUCUACCAACUAUACUUCUACCAAUAUUUACCAAGUCAGGUGAAGCAUUAGCCCAAUUAUUAUUAUCAAAAUUAAAGAUUUUCUUGCUAAAGAGUUCAAAACUGUUAUCUGAAUCUAGGGGUUGCAACACACAGAGUGAGGAAUGUCCUCCUAUGUAUCUUCCUACGUUACUAUUUCGAGAUGUGAUAAUUAUCCUACUGCCAAUUUUUGAAUCAUAUUCAGGAAGAACAAGUUUUAGAUAAUUCCAAAUUUCAACAUCCCAAAUAUCAUCUAAGAGGAUAACAUACCUUUUUCUUUUCAAGAGUGAUCGUAGGUUGUUCUCCAAGUUUUCUUUCCUUUCCUCUUCCGUCAGUCCAACUUGUUUGGCUAUGUCAUGUAAGAUUCCUCCCACCCUUGGCUGUUG
rnacentral:lncRNA from 1 species